rnacentral:rRNA from 1 species
UACGGAGGAUCCAAGCGUUAUCCGGAAUUACUGGGCGUAAAGAGUUGCGUAGGUGGCAUUGUAAGUGGAUAGUGAAAGCGUUCGGCUCAACCGAAUAAACAUUAUCUAAACUACAAAGCUAGAGGAUGAGAGAGGUUAUUGGAAUUCCCAGUGUAGGAGUGAAAUCCGUAGAUAUUGGGAGGAACACCGAUGGCGUAGGCAGAUAACUGGCUCAUUCCUGACACUAAGGCACGAAAGCGUGGGUAGCAAACGGG